AUUGAACGCUGGCGGCAUGCCUUGCACAUGCAAGUCGAACGGUAACAGGUCUUCGGAUGCUGACGAGUGGCGAACGGGUGAGUAAUACAUCGGAACGUGCCCGAGAGUGGGGGAUAACGAGGCGAAAGCUUUGCUAAUACCGCAUACGAUCUCAGGAUGAAAGCAGGGGACCGCAAGGCCUUGCGCUCACGGAGCGGCCGAUGGCAGAUUAGGUAGUUGGUGGGAUAAAAGCUUACCAAGCCGACGAUCUGUAGCUGGUCUGAGAGGACGACCAGCCACACUGGGACUGAGACACGGCCCAGACUCCUACGGUAGGCAGCAGUGGGGAAUUUUGGACAAUGGGCGCAAGCCUGAUCCAGCCAUGCCGCGUGCAGGAUGAAGGCCUUCGGGUUGUAAACUGCUUUUGUACGGAACGAAAAGACUCUGGUUAAUACCUGGGGUCCAUGACGGUACCGUAAGAAUAAGCACCGGCUAACUACGUGCCAGCCGCCGCCGUAAUAC
rnacentral:rRNA from 1 species